rnacentral:tRNA from 1 species
UCCCUGAUGACUGGGAUGGUAAAGGAUCUGCCUGCAAUGCAGGAGACACAGGUUCGAUCCCUGGGUUGGGAA